GCCCAGCUAGCUCAGUCGGCAGAGCUUGAGAUUCCUAAUCUCAGAGAGUCGUGGGUUCGAGCCCCACGUUGGGCA